rnacentral:lncRNA from 1 species
CACACAUACAUACACACUUAUUUCUAAUAUGUGUAGAAUAUAUUAUAAAAUGUUUUAAUUAUUUUAUAACUACAUGUAUAAUAUAUGUAUUUGAUUUUUUUUUUUUUUUUUUACUUUUUAGGUGUCAGGGGGACUGCCUGACAGCUCAGACAGUCCUCCUGCAGGCAACUCCAUAAAUUUCUAUUGUGGCCAUGUGAUCUUGGUGAUCACAUGGCCCUGGAGGGCUGGAGUGGCCGGAGCUGCUGCAGGGGGACUGCUGGGGUCUCUGGCAGUCCCCUCCGACCGGGAUUGCCGGUCUAGGUAAGUGUAGCACUCAUCUUAAUCAACAGUUUUUGUCGGACAUACCUAGUACGUCCGCGGUCGGUUAAUGACUUCAUUAACUAGGCAUAAAAAUGUUAGGGCAAAGGGGAUUUAGGGUUUGAGAAUGAUUCAUUUUAGCAUUAGUUUGCAUAGGGCAAAGAGUUAAGAGAAUUAAACACUUGAGAAAGUUUAUAAUUGUCGGAUUAUUUGGUUUAGAGUGAGGUUAAAUUAACUAUUUGGAUACAGUGGGUGUUUCAACUUUCAGAGGGGUUAAACCUAAGAUUAAAGGGAAACUAUAGUCACCAAAACAACUACAGCUUAAUGUUUUGGUGUCUUCAGCCUGUCUCUGCAGAUAUUAACAUAGAAUAUUAAAAUGUUAAAUGUUUAAUGCUAGAACAAAAUGCAAAUGACAAAUUACUUUAAGCACGUUUAGAUGCAUUUAAGUUAAAGUUUAGGUUAAAAAAAAAUAAAAUAAAAGAGUAUAACGCACACAAUAAAAACAGGUGGAAUAAUUCCUGCAGGGUGCUCCAGAAAGGCACAAUCCCUGAAGGCAUCAAAUGGAAGACAGGAAAUAUUCAGGCAUACCUGAGGUUUCUUCUAAAAGGCAGUCUUUUUAUUUGACUUUAAGAAGGCUAUCUCCACGUUGUCUUCACUUUCUUGUUUCAAAUAAAAAGACUGCCUUUUUGAAGAAAAGAAACCUCGGGUGUGCCUGGUUAUUUUUUUUCUUCCAUUUGUAUAAGUUAAAGGGAUGCUCUACACCCAAAACACUUUAUCUCACAGAUGUGCUUUAGGUGUGAAAGGUGUGUCCUCUUUUCUUUUUCUUUUACAAAAAGUGCAGAUUUCAAUGGAAAUAGGCAUUUAAAAAAAAUAAACAAACAAUGUUACAGGCUGCAGACAAAAGAUAUGCAGGUUUUGCAAUUGUUUUUGAUAUAACACCAAUUAAAAAUGCAUAAUUAAAUGCAUGUUUGUUUUAAUUGGGGGUUUAUCUGCUAAACAGUGGUUUUUAUUUUGUAUUUGAGCAGUGGAAUUUAAAAUCUAAGAGCACAAAGAUUAUACCACAGUAUAGUUGCACUAGUUUGGAAUAAAAUUUCUUUCUCCUCAUGGACGCACCACCCGGGCAAAGCUGCAGCCGCCUGAGGCUCUCUACAGAGCGCUCGGGCGGCUGCAGCAUGAGCGGGGCCGGCGCUCCUGGCGGCGCCCCCUCCCAAGGGGCGCCCUAGGCGGCUGCCUAGUCCGCCUUACAGGUAGCGCCGGCCCUGUGUGAUACUUAUUUGU